AUGGAUCCCCGCGGCGGCGACUUCCCGUGCAUCGUCCAAGCCCUACCCUCCGUGGAUCCGAACGAAGCCGCCUCCGACUCGCCCUGCAUCGUCCAGGCCCUAGCGGCGUCCCCCUCGCCGUCCCCUUCCAAAGCCCUGGCCCUCACGCCCGCGGCCAGAGACCAGCCGCCGCCCGCCUUCAAAUCCUCCAGGCCCCCGAGCCCCCGCCGCACGCGCUCCGGCCGCGCGCCCGAGUGGACUGCCGCCGAGACCCUAGCGCUCGUCGCCGCGGUCGCCGCCGUGGACGACGACGGCUGGGCCCGCUCCGUCUCCGCCUUCCAGAAGUGGGCUAUCGUCGCGGAGAACAUCGCCUUCUCCGACGCCGGUGGGGCGCCCUCGAGGCGCAGGGGGAGGGCGGCCGGCGAGUGCAAGCGGAGGUGGGAGGCGCUCGUGGCCGAGUACGGGGCGGUGCGCCGCUGGGAGGGGCGAACCGGGGGGAGCUACUGGCGCAUGAGCGCCGCGGCCAGGAGGAAGGCCGGGCUCCCCGCGGAGUUCGACGCCGAGGUGUAUGGCAUCAUGGACGCGCUGAUCCGAGUGGAUGAGGCGCUCCUUGGCGGCGCCGGGGGAGGAGGGGGCGACGAAGGCUUGGUCAGUGCUAAUGGUGGUGGUGGUGGUGGUGGUGGUGGUGAUACUGCUGGGGUGGGAGAGGAAGAGGGUGGCGAUGCUGGGGUUGAAAAAGAGGAGGAUAGUGCCGCGGAGGAGGCGGAUGAUGACGGGAGUGAGGAGGAGAUGCAGGUGGAUGGUGGAAAUGCGAAUGCUUCUGAUGAUUUGGGGUGUGAGAUGGAGACCCACAACGAACCAAAGAAAAGCCAAGCCGACGCAUGGGAGUUAGCCAACAGGCUAAACGAGAACGCGCAGCAUAUUCAUAUGAUACUAAGUGGAGAGGCUAUGGAGACCCACAACGAACCAAAGAAAAGCCAAGCCGACGCAUGGGAGUUAGCCAACAGGCUAAACGAGAACGCGCAGCAUAUUCAUAUGAUACUAAGUGGAGAGGCUGAUGAAGAUGGUGGCCACCACAAUGCUCCUGCCUAUGCCGUCUCACCUGAUGCAAUGGAGACCACUCGGCAGAAAGCCGACGAGCUGAUCAAGUCGCUAGGUGGGCUCGUGAGCUACUUGAACCAGUUCACCGAUCUGAUCAAGGAAAACGGGAUCGAGGACGUCGUCGGUGUGAACUGA
rnacentral:rRNA from 1 species